ensembl:lncRNA
GUCUCGAGCAGCUGUGUGGUAGGACUGUGGAACGGGUAGCGGCCGCCAGCUAAGUCCUUUACACUCUCCGUGCCCUCCGCGCCCUCGGCUCUCCUGGGCCCAGGCGUUCUGUUGAGGUUUCCGGGGUCUCCACCGAGCCAUACCCUCUGCGCUCACCUUCACGGCGUAAGCCACGUGGAGCUGACGUCCUGAGGGCGUCGGGCGGUGGACCAGGCGGUCCUAGGAGAGAUAGGCUGGGGGCCGCUGCCCCGAGCCCAGCUACACCGCCUGGCGGUUGCGGUUCUUCUACUGUCAGCCGCGCUAGGGCACAUCUGGAACCAAAGCUGCAUUUCACUGAGUGUUAAGAGCAGCAGGGCCGGAGAUUUAGCUCGGUGGUUCCGUCGCCUGCCUCUCAAGCGCAAGGUCCCGAGUUCGAUACACGGUGCCAAAAAAGAACAGCAGGCUCCACAGACAGAACCAUUCACUGCUGGGAUCUGGAAAAUGUAAAGUGUACAUGAAAAACAAAACAAAAGCCUGUUUACAAAAUCCCCAGCUUCAUCUGCAGGUCGAAGCCGAACAGUUUAACCUGUCCCCUCUGGGCGUCCCGGGGCUCCCACCCCCUACCCGCCUUAGACCUCGGUGGUUGGGACGUUUUGGGGACGAGGGGGAAGGGCUAUUCAGUAUAGCCCACCUGGUUCUGGCAGGAAGGCGACAGCCUGUGUUAAGACACAGAGCUCGGUGGGCCGGGGAUUUAGCUCAGUGGUUUCGCCGCCUGCUGCGCAAGCACAAGGACCCAAGUUCAAUCCGGGGUACCAAAAAAAAAACAGAGCUCGAGGCGGGGAUGGGCGUCUUGGCAGUAGUAGUCACCAGAAUGUCUUUACUGUAUGUAUAAUCGCCCCGGAUAGUGCUGAGAGUUCACUUUACAGCAUCUAUACGCUGCCCAGGGAUGGACAUGGAACCGGGCCGACCCACUUCCAGGCCUGGUAGGCUGGUGUAGAGCUGCUCCCCUUCCUUCUGGUGUCCUAUCCCCUCUUCAUUCCUGAGAACUCUGGGACGGAUCGCUAUUCCUGAUUUUAUGGAUGAAGAAGUGAAGAGACAGAAAUUAAACAGCCAGCCUGGAGUUACAGAGGCCUUUCAAGCCUAGAAGUGGUGAAUUUCCUGGCAGGACCUAAGAGCAACAGCUGCUUCUGAACUGGGGCCCCAACAGUCCAGAGAACAUGGAUGAGCCCAACUUGGGUGGAGGACAGAAACCUUACUGGAAAGAGGACCUACACCCUAGCCGGCUGCUGACAGCUACCAUCUCUACCCUGUGAAGCCAGAUCCCUUAGACCUUCUGCCUCCUGAUAUGGACUCACACAAGACACUACAGUGAGCUCCAGGCCUCGACUGGAUCCUUCAGAUCUCCAGCACAGAGACAGCCCUUUUGCACUUUUACACACCUGACACUGCAGGCAGCCACUGUAAGCCAAUCUUGUAAAUUCUCAGCUAUUUGUAUAUCUUGCAUUAAAUCUAUUUCUCUAGUAUGCACUCUUACAAGGACCAAACAAUUUAGCUAAGAAAAAUGAAAACACGCCCACAAAGGAGUUAUAUCGUAGAACGUUCAUAGCAGAUUCAUUCCUCACAGCCCCAGACUGGGGAACAGCUCACAGUCAUGGAGUAGAGCAUGGAUGAAGAAAGGUGGGCUCUCUCCGUGAGCCACAGUUGUGUUUUCUGAGGGUUCCAGUGACCUGCAGUCAACUGUGGCUGGAAAUCCCAGAAGCCUAACAGGCCAUGAGUUUUAAGCUGUGCACCCUUCUGAGGGAUGCCAGCUCUUCAGCCCCUGGAUGAAAUCCUUUUGAGCCACCAGCUUUUGUCUCCCUGCAGGAACAGCAAAUGCUCAGCAUGACAAGGUGGGCCUGUGGCGUCUGCCACUAUUAGGGGGUGUCUGCUCCUCUUCUCCUUCGACUGCCUUGGUCUGGUGGAUUCUUCAUUUUUCUGCAAAGUCCCCUCUGAGGUCCCCUGUCAUUGGAUCAGCCAACACUGGAUUCAGGCAUCUCAAACAGAAACCAAAAUGUAAAUGGCACUGUGGGUAAAGAGGGUGCUGGAUGUCAGCUCAAGUGGGUGCUGUUCUACCUGGCUAUAGGGUUGGAGGCUUCAGGAAGACCUGUUGUCAUGGGUGCAUGGUCGUGGACAUGGCACCAGCAGGGACUCUUCCCACCUGUUGCCUGGAGGUGCCUUGCUUAGUCUUCCAAUCCUCUCUCUCUGUGCUUUGGAAGUGAGGUCCACGGAGGAGAAAUGUGGCAGAGAUAUAGCAGAGGACAGUGACAAGCACUUCUGUCCUGGGACUCAGGAGACAGGAAAGGGGGGCUGCCGAACACCUUUGCAUUUCCAUAGCGACUGGGGCUGGACAGCUGGUUUCCUUGCUGAACAAUGGUGUGCCCUGGGGUUAGCAAGCCACGCUGACUCUUGCCAAGGACUUCUUGGAAACUAGGUGACCUCUCAUUCACUGAGGGUCUUGUGUCACUGGCGCUCCCUUCCCAGCCCAAAU